rnacentral:rRNA from 1 species
GAUGAACGCUGGCGGCGUGCUUAACACAUGCAAGUCGAACGGAAAGGCCUCAGCUUGCUGGGGUACUCGAGUGGCGAACGGGUGAGUAACACGUGGGUGAUCUGCCCUGCACUUUGGGAUAAGCUUGGGAAACUGGGUCUAAUACCGAAUAUGACCACUUCUUGGAUGUUGUGGUGGAAAGCUUUUGCGGUGUGGGAUGAGCCUGCGGCCUAUCAGCUUGUUGGUGGGGUAAUGGCCUACCAAGGCGGCGACGGGUAUCCGGCCUGAGAGGGUGUACGGACACAUUGGGACUGAGAUACGGCCCAGACUCCUACGGGAGGCAGCAGUGGGGAAUAUUGCACAAUGGGCGCAAGCCUGAUGCAGCGACGCCGCGUGGGGGAUGAAGGCCUUCGGGUUGUAAACUCCUUUCGCUAUCGACGAAGCCACUUGUGGUGACGGUAGGUAGAUAAGAAGCACCGGCUAACUACGUGCCAGCCGCCGCGGUAA